rnacentral:rRNA from 1 species
AACGAACGCUGGCGGCAGGCUUAACACAUGCAAGUCGAACGAGCUGGGGGCUUCGGUCUCCGAUGCUAGUGGCGCACGGGUGAGUAACACGUGGGAAUAACCUCCUUAGUACUGAAUAAUCACGGCAAACUUUUGCUAAUACCGCAUACGCGCUUCUGGUGCUAGAUUUAUCGCGAUAGAAUUAUCCCGCGUCUGAUUAUGUAGUUGGUGAGGUAAUGGCUCACCAAGCCGACGAUCAGUAGCUGGUCUGAGAGGAGGAUCAGCCAGACUUGGACUGAGACACGGACCAGUCUGCUACGGGAGGGAGCAGUGGGGAAUAUUGGGCGAUGGGGGCAACUCUAGUCCAGCCAUGCGGCGUGAGAGAAGAAGGCCUUUGGAUUGUACAUCUCUUUCGACGGGGACGAUGAUGACGGUAACCGUAUAAGAAGCCCCGGCAAACUUCGUG